rnacentral:rRNA from 1 species
CGGGUUAAGUCCCGCAACGAGCGCAACCCUUGCCUUUAGUUGCCAGCAGUUCGGCUGGGCACUCUAAAGGGACUGCCGGUGUUAAACCGGAGGAAGGUGGGGAGUGACGUCAAGUCCUCAUGGCCUUUAUGACCAGGGCUACACACGUACUACAAUGGCCGAUACAAAGGGCAGCGACACUGCGAGGUGAAGCCAAUCCCGUAAAAUCGGUCUCAGUCCGGAUUGGAGUCUGCAACUCGACUCCAUGAAGUUGGAAUCGCUAGUAAUCGUGGAUCAGCAUGCCACGGUGAAUACGUUCCCGGGCCUU